rnacentral:lncRNA from 1 species
UUUUAUAUUUUGAUUAUUAGUUACACUAUUUAUCGCGCCUAAAAGUGUAGUGUAUACCAGUCUAGGAUCCGUUUUUCUUGUGGCGAUUUUUAAAAUGAAUUAUCUACGUAAAUAUUGAACCCACGGGGACGCCUCACCCCCUGCCUUCCCCAGAGGUCAGUCCAGCAAUGUCUGCCUCCACCCCCUCUGUGUUUCCAGACCCAGAGAGUGAAGCAAAUCCAGAAUCAACCACUACACUAGAUAAAUAGCCAUUACUGUGACGAUGGAAUGCUGUCAGCGAGCAGCAUGGAAGACGCAGAGUGAGUGGUGGUCAGGUGGUGGUGGAGAUAAGGAGUAUGUGGCCUGGAGAUUAACAAACAGAACACCAAUAAUCUUGUGACCUCCAUGUACCCUUCCUAAUGUCAAUAAAGUUGUCUUAUCAUGCCCAAAA